AACGACCGGCUGGACACUUGUGUGCCCGGCCCGCAAGUGGAGGCUCCGAACUCCCACCUGACCGCCCUCCGGGACGGCAGGUCACCCGGUCAGACGGCCACCACCGUUCCGUACGGACGGUGGAGCCGUCCGAUAUUGCGCCCCGCGGGACACCGCGGCGGUGCUCCGGCAGUACAUGGAGCCCCGCCUGUGUCCCGUCCGGGGCAUUUUUU
rnacentral:ncRNA from 18 species